CCGUAGCCCAAGAGAUCGGGAUAACACCUGGAAACAGAUGCUAAUACCGGAUAACAACAGAUGAUGCCUAUCAACUGUUUAAAAGAUGGUUCUGCUAUCACUCUUGGAUGGACCUGCGGUGCAUUAGCUAGUUGGUAGGGUAACGGCCUGCCAAGGCGAUGAUGCAUAGCCGAGUUGAGAGACUGAUCGGCCACAUUGGGACUGAGACACGGCCCAAACUCCUACGGGAGGCAGCAGCG
rnacentral:rRNA from 1 species